UACGUAGGGGGCAAGCGUUGUCCGGAAUCAUUGGGCGUAAAGAGCGUGUAGGCGGCUCGGUAAGUCCGCUGUGAAAGUCCAGGGCUCAACCCUGGAAUGCCGGUGGAAACUGUCGAGCUAGAGUCCGGAAGAGGCGAGUGGAAUUCCUGGUGUAGCGGUGAAAUGCGCAGAUAUCAGGAGGAACACCAAUGGCGAAGGCAGCUCGCUGGGACGGUACUGACGCUGAGACGCGAAAGCGUGGGGGAGCAAACGGG
rnacentral:rRNA from 1 species